rnacentral:misc_RNA from 1 species
GAUGAAGAACGUAGCGAAAUGCGAUACGUAAUGUGAAUUGCAGAUUUCAGUGAAUCAUCGAAUCUUUGAACGCACAUUGCGCCCGCUAGUAUUCUGGCGGGCAUGCCUGUUCGAGCGUCAUUUCAACCAUCAAGCCCUGUGCUUGUGUUGGAGCCCUGCGGCUGCCGCAGGCUCCCAAACCCAGUGGCGGGCUCGUCGUCGUACCGAGUGCAGUAAACAUACCACGCUCAGGGCACGCGACGGGUGACCGGCCGUAAAACCCCCCCCCUUCUCAAGGUUGACCUCGGAUCAGGUAGGAAUACCCGCUGAACUUAAGCAUAUCAAUAAGCGGAGGA